UCAUACGUGACGUCACGAAACGUAUCACAAGCGGUACAACUGGCAAACACCGUUUUCACGAAGUGGCCUCUUACGCGCAAAUGUAGUCUGCUAUUGAUAAUCGUACACGAACCGGCUCCGCGAAGCCUUUGUCACAGAUGCCGGUGCUUCUGGCGGAAUUGUUAGAGGAAUCUGACAGCCCUAGUAGAAUAGCCGGCUGAGAGGACCAUCACUAGCACUCCCAGGCCCAGUGGCUGAUGUCUAAGUAGGAGUUUGACGUGGAGAGCUUUUAGCAUGUUGUUGAGUUUACCAGUAGAAUAGACAGCUGGGAUACGCAAGAGAUGAGGGACCACUAGCACCCCAGUGGUUGAUGUCCAUGUAGGAGUUUGUGCAGCUGAUGUGGAGAGCUUUUAGCA